GGCGAUAGCGCGGUGGUCCCACCUGACCCCAUGCCGAACUCAGAAGUGAAACGCCGUAGCGCCGAUGGUAGUGUGGGGCUUCCCCAUGUGAGAGUAGGGAACUGCCA
rnacentral:rRNA from 1 species